GUGAGACUGUAGUCUCUCAUUUCAACUAGAAUUCAACGAGAGAAUGACGGAAGUGCCCAACCUACUACUGAGGACAUAGUGCUGUGUGGUGCGGGGCUGCCAGGUGACUCCGUGAUGGACUCUGUCCUUGGGGUCACCAUCUCCUAAGACAGACUGAUGGAUGGAACAGUAAUGGAAGGACACAAAAGCCAGAUGAUCCUUUCAAAAUGUAAGCCUACAUCACGUGAAUCUGUCUACCCACGGCCUUAAAACUACUUAAAGAGUCAGCCAGCCUGCACUGGGACCUAAAGGUGGGAUGCACUCUCCCUCCGUGCCCUCCCUCCCCCUGGCACCCUGCCGCAAGACCCCUCUCCAGUCCUCACCUCCGUUAGGCUCCCCCUGCCCCAGGGCCAUCGGUGGCCCAGCGCUGCCUGGACUGCUCCCAAGCCCACCAUCCUCCCCAGGAGUGCUGCCUUACUGUCCUCCCAGUUUCAGACAACACAACUGCCUACAGGCUCCUCAAGCAGGACAGCAGGCCGGUAAUGGUUGGCCAGCACUCGGCAAGCUGAAUCCUGCCCCUUCAGAGCAUCAUUUCAUUCUGUCACUGUGCAUUCUUUCCCGGAAAUCCCCACUAAUGGGUCCCUGCUAGCUACAUGCCCUUGAGGGCAGAAACAUUGAGCCUCAUUCACUGCUGCACCCCAGCCUAGCUCAGUGUCUGGCACUGAGUAGAAUGUCAAGAAUACAUGUGUUUAAUGAAUGGCUGAGCACAGCCUGAGCCAGAAGUAUCCUUCAAGGUCAAACUCCCUCUCUUGCCCACUGGUGCCUUGGGCCUUUGAUUCCUUUCAGUGGCAUAGUCAUAACAGCAGGCACUUCUGGAGUAGAAGCAGCAAGCCAGGUGCCACACUUUGUAUACAUCCCACUGUCGACUCAGUGCCUCAGUGUCCUCAGGACUGGCAGGUCACAUGACCACCCUGCCAAGUAAGUACCAAGACCAUGGCAUCCAUACAUGGGUCACUGGUGGCACCAGCAUUCAAAUCCUGGCAGUCUGGGCCCAGAGCCCAUUCCCUGAGCCACUGCUCCAUGCUGCUGAAGGUCCAGAACGAAGGGGACAGAGCUGGACACAAGGCCCCAAGUGUGGCUCCAGGGACCCAGCAAAGCCCUCUCCAUUGUCAGAGGCUACCAAUCUGGUUCCUUAAGCCAGGGAGACGAGGCAGUAUUCUCCUUCCUAUGGGCUGUGCCUUCCUAAGAGGUCAGAGUCUAACCUUGUUUAAAGCAACUUCAUAAUGAACCUGAUUGAAAACCUAAUAAAAAAUGGGGUCAAGUUGAGAGAAUGAGAGAGCUGUUUAAGAACCAGAGGAAGGUCUACUUAAUUUUGUUGUUAUGUGGUAAAUUCACUUGAAGUGUGCCCAGAUGCCUUCAGAGGUUGGAGUCUGCAAAGCCACAUGUGUGUGCCCUUGGAGCUGAGCAUUUUCUGGGGCUGAGCCCAGUCAGAGGCCCAUGCCUGGCCUACACACUUCCACCCACUGUUGCAAAUGCAGCCUAUCCUCCUCCAGAACAUUCCAGACCCUCCACUUAGACUUGGGGCUGCCUGGCUGGGAAGACUAGAGUGUCCAUCCCCAGCCCUUUUCUGAAACCUGGAUUUGGGGAUCUAUACCAUCUAAAGCUCUAGGUUUAGAAUCUAAUAACUGCCUUGGGGUCCUACAUUUGCAGCUAGCCAUAUUCCAAAUUAUGGGGUUCCCUCAAGAGGUCCCAUUGCAAACAGCUAAAAGCCCGGGUGGUGUGGGAAAUUUGUCAUACACACACAGUACCUCCUCCAUCUGUCCUCAGACUGGUCACCAUCUGCUGCCCUGGCCAGUGCUUCUGGGGAAAGCUAGUUUAGGAAGGACAUUUCCUGAGUAAAUGUUUAAUGCUAAAUAAAUUAGUGGUCCUCAAAGUCUGGUCCCAGACAGCAACACCAGAGUCUCCUGGGAACGUGGCAGACACGCAAAUCCUCCAGCCCUGUUGAGCUGGAAAUCUCAGGUAGGACCCAGCAGUCAGGACGGAACAAGCCCUCUAGGGGAUGGGGAAGCCUGAGCACCACUGAAGCAGAGUAAAAGACAUGGGAAGACCUGCCUUCAGUACCGAAUGAUAAAAGGUCGCAGUAGUGGGGUGCCCACACCUGCCAUCCGCAGUCGUGUGAAAAGUUUAGGGCAUUUACUAUAUGUGGAACAAGUUUUUAAAAACCCACUUCUCUGAGUUUUAAAAGUAAAUUCUCAGGUGUUCUGGGCUGUGGAAACCUGACCCUUUUCUUCUUCACUCAAAUAAACACCCCAGAACAUCCUUUAUCCCUCACAGCAGGGACAUUAGGAGGUAGAAGUCCACCAAUUUAAAGGUUUAGAUUUUUUCCCCCGUUUAUUGAAUCCUUAGCACAGUAUGUGAUCCAUUUUAAAAUCUUUGUUUCUUUCAUCUGAGUUUACAACAAUCCCAUCUGGAAAAAAGGAACUAGAGGCAAAGAGAGAGAAAGUAACCCGGCCCCCAGGAAUAAGGCAUCUGCGUGCUGGAGCAGAGACGGGAGGCGUGUGGGUGUUCUCAGACCCACUCUGGGACCGGCAUUCCAUUUGCUGCCUCCUGAAGAAACUGCUGGGCACCAGGAGAGUCAGCUGCGAGCUCAGAGCGCCCUGUGAUUGUCUGAGCGAUUUAAAAAGCCAUUUAUGAUUGGCAGGUAAUUUGGGGAAACCCUGACUUUAAAACAUAAAGCAAUAAAAGACUAAACCCA